rnacentral:rRNA from 1 species
GACGAACGCUGGCGGCGCGCCUAACACAUGCAAGUCGAACGAGCGAGAGAGAGCUUGCUUUCUCGAGCGAGUGGCGAACGGGUGAGUAACGCGUGAGGAACCUGCCUCAAAGAGGGGGACAACAGUUGGAAACGACUGCUAAUACCGCAUAAGCCCACGGGUCGGCAUCGACCAGAGGGAAAAGGAGCAAUCCGCUUUGAGAUGGCCUCGCGUCCGAUUAGCUAGUUGGUGAGGUAACGGCCCACCAAAGCAACGAUCGGUAGCCGGACUGAGAGGUUGAACGGCCACAUUGGGACUGAGACACGGCCCAGACUCCUACGGGAGGCAGCAGUGGGGAAUAUUGCACAAUGGGGGAAACCCUGAUGCAGCGACGCCGCGUGGAGGAAGAAGGUCUUCGGAUUGUAAACUCCUGUUGUUGGGGAAGAUAAUGACGGUACCCAACAAGGAAGUGACGGCUAACUACGUGCCAGCAGCCGCGGUAAAACGUAGGUCACAAGCGUUGUCCGGAAUUACUGGGUGUAAAGGGAGCGCAGGCGGGAAGACAAGUUGGAAGUGAAAUCUAUGGGCUCAACCCAUAAACUGCUUUCAAAACUGUUUUUCUUGAGUAGUGCAGAGGUAGGCGGAAUUCCCGGUGUAGCGGUGGAAUGCGUAGAUAUCGGGAGGAACACCAGUGGCGAAGGCGGCCUACUGGGCACCAACUGACGCUGAGGCUCGAAAGUGUGGGUAGCAAACAAGAUCAGAUACCCUGGUAGUCCACACCGUAAACGAUGAUUAUUAGGUGUUGGAGGAGUGACCCCCUCAGUGCCGCAGCUAACACAAUAAGUAAUCCACCUGGGGAGUACGACCGCAAGGUUGAAACUCAAAGGAAUAGACGGGGGCCCGCACAAGCAGUGGAGUAUGUGGUUUAAUUCGACGCAACGCGAAGAACCUUACCAAGUCUUGACAUCCCUUGACAGGCAUAGAAAUAUGUUUUCUCUUCGGAGCAAGGAGACAGGUGGUGCAUGGUUGUCGUCAGCUCGUGUCGUGAGAUGUUGGGUUAAGUCCCGCAACGAGCGCAACCCUUAUGGUCAGUUACUACGCAAGAGGACUCUGGCCAGACUGCCGUUGACAAAACGGAGGAAGGUGGGGAGGACGUCAAAUCAUCAUGCCCCUUAUGACUUGGGCUACACACGUACUACAAUGGCGUUAAACAAAGAGAAGCAAGACCGCGAGGUGGAGCAAAACUCAGAAACAACGUCCCAGUUCGGACUGCAGGCUGCAACUCGCCUGCACGAAGUCGGAAUUGCUAGUAAUCGUGGAUCAGCAUGCCACGGUGAAUAAGUUCCCGGGCCUUGCACA